rnacentral:rRNA from 1 species
ACUCCUACGGGAGGCAGCAGUGGGGAAUAUUGCACAAUGGGCGCAAGCCUGAUGCAGCCAUGCCGCGUGUGUGAAGAAGGCCUUCGGUUGUAAAGCACUUUCAGUCGUGAGGAAGGUAGUGUAGUUAAUAGCUGCAUUAUUUGACGUUAGCGACAGAAGAAGCACCGGCUAACUCCGUGCCAGCAGCCGCGGUAAUACGGAGGGUGCGAGCGUUAAUCGGAAUUACUGGGCGUAAAGCGCAUGCAGGUGGUUUGUUAAGUCAGAUGUGAAAGCCCGGGGCUCAACCUCGGAAUAGCAUUUGAAACUGGCAGACUAGAGUACUGUAGAGGGGGUAGAAUUUCAGGUGUAGCGGUGAAAUGCGUAGAGAUCUGAAGGAAUACCGGUGGCGAAGGCGGCCCCCUGGACAGAUACUGACACUCAGAUGCGAAAGCGUGGGGAGCAAACAGGAUUAGAUACCCUGGUAGGACAGUG